rnacentral:rRNA from 1 species
GUGACCUCGGAUCAGGUAGACAGCCCAGUUC